GCCAGACUUGCAUAGUAAUUGGAGCACUAGACUGUGAUUCUGGAGACCAGGAUUCAAAUCCCUGGUUGGCCA
rnacentral:tRNA from 1 species